CAGCAGUAGCCGCGGUAGUACGUAGGUGGCAAGCGUUGUCCGGAAUUAUUGGGCGUAAAGGGCUCGCAGGCGGUUUCUUAAGUCUGAUGUGAAAGCCCCCGGCUCAACCGGGGAGGGUCAUUGGAAACUGGGAAACUUGAGUGCAGAAGAGGAGAGUGGAAUUCCACGUGUAGCGGUGAAAUGCGUAGAGAUGUGGAGGAACACCAGUGGCGAAGGCAACUCUCUGGUCUGUAACUGACGCUGAGGAGCGAAAGCGUGGGGAGCGAACAGGAUUAGAUACCCCUGUAGUCCCUGUCUCUUAUAC
rnacentral:rRNA from 1 species